ACAGUUGUAUUUCCCAUUAUUUAAGUUGAUGGAAUAAUACUUCAGGGUAAGAAUGGUAAUGGGGUGGGGGAAGAUCUACCUCAAUCCCCACCUCAUUCUCCAAUAAAUUUAAUGGGGUGGAGAUGAAGAAUCCCAUGUGGAGAAUGAUUUUGGAAUGUUUGAAAGGCUUGGAUUGUAAUUAGGUAAUUAACUCAACUUAUUAAAGAUGAUAUUGUCAUACCACAUUCAUAAUAUUUCAUUUUGAUAGAUAUUUAUGAUUUGUAAAAUAAGUUGAAUUGAUUAGGGGCCAUAUGAACUUUUUAUUAUAAAGUACCUUAAUUUAUUAACUUUUUAAAUUUAGAUAUGAUAAGUAUUGUAGUCCAUUUGAGUUUGGAUCUAAAUAUUUUUAGUUUAUACUUGAGGGGAGAAUAUGUAAUUUUUUCUGAUUUUUGUUUCACAAUUAAUUUAGCUGUGAUCAUUGUACCAAAUCAAAUAAUAAAAAAAGAAAUCAUGGGUUUAAAUUAAAAUAAAAAAAGGCAUGGGGGUGAUUAUUUGUGUGAAGAAGGAAAAAAAACAGUGAUAGACAAGGGAAAGAGAGACAUAUUAUAGAGUUAACAUCUGUUAGUUGCUUAUUAGUUAUUCCAUUUUAGUUAGCCACUAAUUCUAUAUAUUUUGAUGUCCAUGAAGAAAAAUUAAAAAUAAAUUAAAUCCUAUCCCUAAAUACAUUUAAAGGAAAAAUGUCAUAAUCUCUUACAAAUCUUGGCAAAAAUGAGAUUAAGAAAGAAUCCGAAUGAAAUUAAUCUUAUUUUAUGGGUUUUAAUUUGUUAGUUAAUUAAGCAGACCAAAUCAAGUCGAUGGGACAAUAUGAAGAUUGAAUGAAUCAUCUAGUAGGUACGGAGAUUUUAUUUUUAAUUUUAAAUACACACAAUGAAUGAAUAUGCUUGACUUGUUAAAGAUUAUUUCUUGAAUAAGUGAUAUUCAUUAUUAGUGAUAAUAAUGGGUGAUUAGUGUUAAAAAUUGUAUGUUUGUUAAGGGGUAAAAAUGUUAUUUUGUGCUAUUAUUGUAAUUUAUAUUUGUAAUUAUGUAACAUAUUGUGAAUUUCUAAUUAUUUUUCUAAGUAUUUGAUUUUGUGUAUUUUUGUGUGUUUAUUAG
rnacentral:lncRNA from 1 species